CCUACGGGCGGCAGCAGUGGGGAAUAUUGCACAAUGGGGGAAACCCUGAUGCAGCAACGCCGCGUGAAGGAAGACGGUUUUCGGAUUGUAAACUUCUGUUCUUAGUGAAGAAUAAUGACGGUAGCUAAGGAGCAAGCCACGGCUAACUACGUGCCAGCAGCCGCGGUAAUACGUAGGUGGCAAGCGUUGUCCGGAAUUACUGGGUGUAAAGGGAGCGCAGGCGGGAAGCCAAGUCAGCUGUGAAAACUACGGGCUUAACUUGUAGACUGCAGUUGAAACUGGUUUUCUUGAGUGAAGUAGAGGUUGGCGGAAUUCCGAGUGUAGCGGUGAAAUGCGUAGAUAUUCGGAGGAACUCCGAUUGCGAAGGCAGCAUACCGGCUCCAUACUGACGCUGAGGCACGAAAGCGUGGGGAUCGAACAGGAUUAGAUACCCGGGUAGUC
rnacentral:rRNA from 1 species